UACCGCGUAGCUCAGUUGGUAGAGCGUCGAUAUAGUAAUUCGAAGGUCGCGGGUUCAAAGACCCAGCCGCGGCAG
rnacentral:tRNA from 1 species